rnacentral:rRNA from 1 species
UACGGAGGGUGCAAGCGUUGUCCGGAAUCACUGGGCGUAAAGGGCGCGUAGGCGGCUCAUGAAGUCUGUGGUGAAAGUCCGGGGCUCAACCUCGGAUCGGCCGUGGCGACUCGUGGGCUGGAGCGCUGUAGAGGCGGGUGGAAUUCCGGGUGUAGCGGUGGAAUGCGUAGAGAUCCGGAAGAACACCAGUGGCGAAGGCGGCCCGCUGGGCAGUGGCUGACGCUGAGGCGCGACAGCGUGGGGAGCAAACAGG